rnacentral:rRNA from 1 species
CCUACGGGAGGCAGCAGUGGGGAAUCUUGUGCAAUGGACGAAAGUCUGACACAGCCACGCCGCGUGCGGGAAGAAGGCCUUCGGGUUGUAAACCGCUUUCAGCAGGAACGAAAAUGACGGUACCUGCAGAAGAAGAUGCGGCCAACUACGUGCCAGCAGCCGCGGUGAUACGUAGGCAUCAAGCGUUGUCCGGAUUUAUUGGGCGUAAAGAGCUCGUAGGCGGUUCAGCAAGUCGGGUGUGAAAACUCUGGGCUUAACCCCAGAGCCUGCACUCGAAACUGCUGUGACUAGAGUUCGGUAGGGGAGCAGGGAAUUCCUAGUGUAGCGGUGAAAUGCGCAGAUAUUAGGAGGAACACCAAUGGCGAAGGCACUGCUCUGGGCCGAUACUGACGCUGAGGAGCGAGAGCGUGGGUAGCAAACAGGAUUAGAUACCCUGGUAGUCCACGCCGUAAACGAUGGGCACUAGGUGUGGGUCUCUAACCAACGAGAUCUGCGCCGUCGCUAACGCAUUAAGUGCCCCGCCUGGGGAGGUACGGUCGCGAGACGAAACUACAANAGAGUAGUAGCGNGAGAGUGCCGACGGACGACGACGAGGGAGGAGGNG